GACGAACGCUGGCGGCGUGCUUAACACAUGCAAGUCGAGCGGUAAGGCCCUUUCGGGGGUACACGAGCGGCGAACGGGUGAGUAACACGUGGGUGACCUGCCCUCAGCUCUGGGAUAAGCCUGGGAAACUAGGGCUAAUACCGGAUAAGACCACAGGUUCCAUGGAACCGAAGGGGUAAAAGGCGGCCUUCGGCUGUCGACCGAAAGAUGACGUCCGCCGUCCCA
rnacentral:rRNA from 1 species